rnacentral:misc_RNA from 1 species
AUCGAAGUGUGCUGCGCGUCACCGCUAGUCGUACUAGUAGAUCGUUUUGCAUGAGGCAAGGAUGACAGAAAAGAUGAUCGAGAAAUAGAAUGACAAGUUCAUAAACAGAUCUUUCUUCAUCAUCUUUUUCUGUGAAAAUGCAGAAAGCAAAACUUCGUUCAUUUCGUCGCGCGUUAGAGACGUCACGAUGAUUCUAAUCAGAACGGCGCAGGCGUCGAAGGAGCUGCCUUAUCAACCGAGAUGACGUUCCAGCACAGGGUCUCGCCUUGGUCGCAUCCGAGGAGUCGUGAAAAUGCCGGGGAACACCUUGCGGCCGGACGACUGUCGCGUGUGAUCGUUCGUGUGUGAACCUCCCGAGUGUCCUGUGCACGCCGGAGCACGUUCGAUCGGAGAGUCCACUGGAAAAUCGAGGAUUGCGCUUCACGACGUAAAAUGGAGAUAUUACUCGUGAUUCCCAUCGAGAAGGCUCUCCGGAGAUGUUGCGGAGACGUCGAACGCGACAGCGUCCGGUAUCCUUGAAGGAGAGAUGCACUUUGCGAAGAUGCACGGGUGACAAAGCACAGGACAGGCCACGACAAAAUGUUGAUCAAGGAGUAUCGCAUACCGCUACCUCUCACGGUAGAGGAGUAUCGAAUCGCUCAGCUGUACAUGAUAGCGAAAAAAUCUCGAGAGGAGAGCAAAGGCGCCGGUAGCGGCGUGGAGAUCCUCGAGAAUGAGCCGUACACCGACGGUCCGGGUGGCAGCGGGCAAUACACACACAAGCUCUACCACGUGGGCAGUCACCUGCCAGGGUGGCUGAAGAGUCUGCUGCCCAAAUCGGCGCUAAUCACCAAGGAGGAGGCGUGGAACGCCUAUCCGUACACCAAGACUCGCUUCACGUGCCCGUUCGUGGAGAAGUUCUACGUCGAAAUAGAGACGUACUACUUCCCGGACGACGGCCACCAGGAGAAUGUCUUCAAUCUCAGCGGCAGUGAUUACAGGAACAGGAUCGUGGACGUGAUCGACAUCGUGAAGGAUCAGCCGUACGGGGCCGAUUAUCUGAAGGAGGAGGAUCCGAAGCUCUAUGUGUCGGAGAAGAGCGGCAGGGGUCCGCUGGAGGAUACGUGGCUUGAGGAUUAUUGGGCCGAUGUGGAAGGAAAGCAACAGCCAACGCCGUCGGGAAAGUCACUAAUGUGCGCGUACAAGCUAUGCCGAGUAGAGUUCCGUUAUUGGGGCAUGCAAACGAAAUUAGAAAAGUUCAUACACGACGUAGCUCUGCGGAAGGUGAUGGUGCGGGCGCACAGGCAGGCCUGGGCCUGGCAGGACGAGUGGAUCGGUCUGACGAUGGAAGACAUCAGGGAGAUCGAGCGGCAGACACAGCUUGCGCUGCAGCGGAAGAUGGGCCUGAGCGAUUCGACGGACGAGGAGCUCGACGGCGAGGGUCAGGAGACGGGCGCGACGGCGUCGGCGGCGACGAACGCCGCGUCGCAGAAGUCGGAGGCCGCCAAGACGCUGGCGGUCACUCUUGGCAGCAUCGAGAAAAACGAGGAUGCGCAGAGCCCGCCGUCCCUCAGGAAGCCGUCCGACAUUCCCAUCAUCAACACCGCGGCUAGCUCCGAGGGCGAGAUCAGCCCCGAGGACUCGCCGGUCGAUCUCAACGAAAUCAAAACCGCGAUCGCCGAUGAUAAAGCGAGCGCCAAAAAAGAGUGGAGGAAGAACGUAUCCCUGCAUUCGCCGAAUUCCAACAAGAGCUUCGACAUUCAAAUCGCGAACUGGAGGAUGGAGAGCAUCGUGAGGGAGUCCGAGUCCGGCAGCGACGACGAGUUCUUCGACUGUCAAGCCGGGUUCAUUAUACCUGUUAUACGCAAAGAGGACUUUGAAGAUAGCUCUUCAUUAGCUAAAUGGAGUUCUUUGGAUCUUCUAGCAGAAGGGGAGGACAUGACUGUGCAGACACCAUCCGCAGCGAACGAACAAGAAGAUACAAUAUUUUCACCUUCAUAUCUGAAACGCGUCGUCAGCGAACGCAGCAGUAAGAGAUUACAGAUCACCACAUCGGCCAGCAUCGACGUGUCAUGUCCAACAUCCCCUCAGCAUUCUCCCACGCAUCAACCGUGCAAAAUUACUGUUCUAAUUAUAGUGGUACACGGCGGCAGCGUUUUAGACGCUAAUGUCGAUUUAACGGCGAAAAAGUCCGAUAUAACGACAUUCCGUGGAGCCUUUGAAUCCGUUAUGAGACAACAUUAUCCAAGUAUGGUUGGGCAUGUGUCUGUUAAAUUUGUCGCCUGUCCUUCCGUUUGCACCGAGGGCCUUGGAAUUUUGUCAAGCUUGAGUCCAUACAGCUUCGAUGUAUCGCCUUCGUGUAUGGACGCUCCGCAAGUGACGCACGAUACCAUUCCGAUUGGCGCGAUUCCACUGCUGGUGAGCUCGAGUUCCGACUAUCAGGACGCGGUAUCGCGUGUGGUGAUGAAUGCCAACCAGGUGUACCACGAAUUCAUCAAGAGCGACGAGGGCAAAGGUUUCAUCGGACAAAUUUGCUUCGUGGGCGACUCGGUAGGGUCGAUCCUGACCUACGACGCCCUGUGCAGGGCGACGCAGCACUCAAGGCACAGCAGCGAAAACAGCAUCCUGGAGGGCAGCGGUCAGCAGAGCAAUGACAACGGUGGAAACGAAGACGGCAAGCAUUUGUCCGCACCGUCUCCCAGAAGAAGGUCUUCCGGCACGAGUGACAAUCCGCAUCAUACCAAGCUGGACUUCGAAGUGGGUGACUUUUUCACUUUCGGCAGUCCGCUCUCACUGGUCCUGGCUUACAGAAAGAUUGCUGCAUCCGCUGACAGGAACAGCUUCAUACCCAGACCGUUAGUCAAUCAGAUGUACAAUCUGUUUCAUCCCACGGAUCCCGUGGCUGCGAGAUUGGAGCCUUUGAUCUCGGCGAGGUUCUCGUUAAUUCCGCCGGUCAACAUCGCCCGAUAUCAAAAGUAUCCGCUCGGCAACGGCCAGCCUUAUCACUUGCUGGAAACUAUCCAGACGAACCCGCAGCUAUUCGCUGACGGAUUGAACGUUCCCAAUAUACAAUUGUCGCAUUUAAGAAGAUUAUCCGAUAUAUCGCUUCAAAGUACAAUGUCGGGCAUUAUCGAUAAUGUUCCUCUGCAGGCGGUGUCUGCCCUGACUCAAAAAUGGUGGGGCACCAAAAGGCUAGAUUACGCGCUUUACUGUCCAGAGGGUCUCGCUAAUUUUCCUACAAACGCCUUGCCGCAUCUCUUCCAUGCUAGUUAUUGGGAGUCUUCGGACGUGAUCGCGUUUAUUUUGAGGCAAUUGGGCAGAUUCGAUUUGCCAUUGCUUGGCAACGACGAGAAAGAUCUCAGCUUCCGUCCAGGUCAACCCAGAGAAAAAUGGAAUAAAAAGCGUACCUCCGUUAAACUUAAGAAUGUUGCUGCCAAUCACAGAGCGAACGACGUCAUCGUGAGGGAAGGCGCGCCACAAAUACUAAUCGCUAGGUUCAUGUACAGUCCUAUUGAUAUGAUAACUUUAACAGGCGAGAAAGUGGAUAUCCACAUUAUGAAAGACGCACCGGCAGGCGAGUGGACAUACAUCUCCACCGAAGUAACUGACAAAAAUGGUAGAGUAAUAUACAAAAUACCAGAUGACAAAGCGCUAGGCUACGGACUCUACCCAGUGAAGAUGGUUGUAAGGGGAGAUCAUACAUCCGUAGAUUUUUUCGUGGCUGUGAUACCACCGAGAACCGAAUGCGUGGUUUUUAGCAUAGACGGCUCAUUCGCCGCCAGUAGGUCGGUGAGCGGGAAAGAUCCGAAAGUUUGGGCUGGUGCCGUCGACGUUGUGAGGCAUUGGCAAGAACUGGGUUACCUCAUUAUUUAUAUUACUGCGAGACCGGAUAUGCAGCAGCAGACAGUGGUUUCCUGGCUGUCGCAGCAUAACUUUCCUCACGGUCUCGUCUCCUUUGCCGACGGCCUGUCCAGGGAUCCGCUCGCUCACAAAGCCGCCUACUUGAAUAAACUUGUGAAGGAGCACGGCAUGCUAAUCCAUCAGGCGUAUGGCAGCGAGAAGGACAUCAGCGUGUACACGGCGAUAAAUCUGAAACCGAGCCAGAUCUUCAUUAUCGGCAAGGUAUCCAAGAAGCAUCAAGUCCUGGCGACAAUACUGUAUGACGGCUAUGCCGCUCAUUUGAGCAUGCUGCAGGCGCACGGGGGUUCGCGUCCUGCCCAGGGCAACGCGCGUAUGGUGAUUCCCAGAGGUCAGUUCGGCUUGCCGGGACAGAAUCCCUCCCUGCGUCGACGAAGGUACCUGCUAUGAGGAUAUGUCGCGUUGUCAGCGUAGUUAAAUAUCACUCUGUCUCUAUCUCUCACUCGGUGAAAAAGCUGUUGUCGCCAUCCUGCGCUCAAACUUAUUGUUUGUCUAUCGGCUAGUACAUAUGUCUCCAGGAUUUGUGGUUCAAUCCGCUCUAUGACUCGUCGCUCUCUAGAUACGCCCGAGCAGUAGAGUCGUUUUCGUAAACCCUCCUCGAAACGAACCGGUCUCACUUUAGCGACGAAGCUCUUUUAGGAUGACGAAACGUGCGAUCUCGCAACCACCCUUAGGCAAGGCACCCUUCCCGCUGGAGCGGUCCACGAGCGUGG